rnacentral:misc_RNA from 1 species
GAUGAAGAACGCAGCGAAAUGCGAUAAGUAAUGUGAAUUGCAGAAUUCAGUGAAUCAUCGAAUCUUUGAACGCACAUUGCGCCCCUUGGUAUUCCGAGGGGCAUGCCUGUUCGAGCGUCAUUAUAACCCCUCAAGCUUAGCUUGGUGUUGGGGCCUGCUGUAAUAGAGCAGCCCUUAAAAUCAGUGGCGGUGCCAUUAGGCUCUAAGCGUAGUAAUUCUUCUCGCUAUAGGGUUCUGGUGGAUGCUUGCCAUUAACCUCUAAUUUUCUAUGGUUGACCUCGGAUCAGGUAGGGAUACCCGCUGAACUUAAGCAUAUCAAUAAGCGGACGA